UAGACAGAGAGAUAUGACCAGACUUGUGUUUUAGAAGAAUGGCUUUGGCAGCUGUAUGAGCAAAGCGUUGUCAGGAAGGAAGAACAAAUGCAGGGAGACAAGAUAAGAAGCUGCUGCAAUAGUCCAGGUAAAAGGUUAUGGAGAAUAAUGUAUCAUUUCCCAAAACUUAUUUGCAUAGCAUAUUUGUUAAAAAAAAAAAAAGAAAGAAAGAAAUAGUCUUAUCUUGUCUUAAGAGGCUUCCUAGCUAGAGUGAAAGUUGCCUCCGGAUCAAGAUCUUCCUGUUUGGAAGAACCAGCAAAAGUCUGCAGCUUAGCUUGCCUUGGGACUCACUCCCAGCCACUCCUUAAAUCUGAACCUGACAUCAGGUUCCAGCUUUUAGUUCUUGCCAAUCACCUGGUUUAUCAAAGCUUACAGGGUCUGUGACGUGCCGCUUUGUUUUUCUACAGCAUUUAUAACUUCCUGGAGUCUGCUUGGAGCAACUGCUUUGCCUUGCCUUGCCUUCCAAUACUCAAGCUCUUCAGCAGCCUCGCUGAGGUUGCCUGCCUGCAGAGCACAUGCUGUCCCAGCAGUGGUCCAGUUGGGAGGGGCUGGAGAGGUGCUAAGCCAAGAGGAUCCAGGGAGAGCAGAGGCAGCUCAACAAGAAGGGGUGUUAAGGGCCUUGCUCAGAAGCAGCCUGGCUCCGAGGAGCACAGAGCGGUUUGGCUGGAAGGUCUCUAACCUGAACGAUGGAAAAUUAGAGGAAAGGAGCAAGAGUGUUCAGAAGGUGAUCAGUGGUCUCCCAGAGAGUAAAGAAUUCAAAUAUUGUUUCUUUUCCUCGCCUCAUUCUUUCCUGGUAUCUCCGGGAUUUGUAGUUGAAUGAAGAAAGGAUUUCAUCCAGUUAUCUCUUAAACUUUCCAGGAAACAUAUAAAAGCUGGCAUCCUGUAGACUCCCACAUUCGCAUAAGUAAUUCUUACUUUGCCAGUCACCUAGGAAACAAUGUCACUUACCGCUACCCCCUCCUAGGUCACAUCCAUAUUCCAAGCCAUUGAUUCUUCUUUUCACUUGUUCCCUGUUUCAGAGUCAUCCAUCCAGAGGGUUUAUAGCAGUGGAUGUCUUCCAACCUUUUCUUAGUAUCAUUUAUAAACUCAAGAUCCUUCUUAUCUUCUUACCUUGAAAAAUAUGCUUAGCAGUAAAGUGGUUGCUCAAUAUUUUUUUCUAUCCAGAGUUCCUCAUUUCCAAGCUCAAGAUAUUGUGAUCACUUGCUAGUAUUAUUUGACAUUUUAUUGAAAAUUUUCCUUUCAAUAAACACUGGGCAAUUAUUAUAGUAAUGUUUAUCACUGGGAAAAUAUGCUGUGCCCCUGCUGCCUCCUUGAUUUAAUUUGAUGUGAUGUAGAUGGGAGCACGCUGCAUGGAUGCUUCGAUGUAGUGGACUAGAAAAACAGUGGACUAGAAAAAAACAAUGGAAUUAGGGAAACUAUUGGGUUUAUUUGUCAUUUCAGUCUCCCCUGGAUACUCAAAAACCUCUGUGGAACAAGAAAAUUAACACUCUUAUACAUUGUCCACUGAAAUCUAGCAGUAUCUCCCAAUGGAAUGUGAUAAUCCAAGUAUAAAACUUGUCUUAGAGAGUUUCAUCUAUAUUGUUAUUUUUA
ensembl:lncRNA